AGAGUUUGAUCCUGGCUCAGGAUGAACGCUGGCGGCGUGCCUAAUACAUGCAAGUCGAACGCGGGCAGCAAUGCCCGAGUGGCGAACGGGUGAGUAAUACAUAAGUAACCUGCCCUUUACAGGGGGAUAACUAUUGGAAACGAUAGCUAAGACCGCAUAGGUAAAGAUACCGCAUGGUAAGUUUAUUAAAAGUGCCAAGGCACUGGUAGAGGAUGGACUUAUGGCGCAUUAGCUAGUUGGUGAGGUAACGGCUCACCAAGGCGACGAUGCGUAGCCGACCUGAGAGGGUGACCGGCCACACUGGGACUGAGACACGGCCCAGACUCCUACGGGAGGCAGCAGUAGGGAAUUUUCGGCAAUGGGGGGAACCCUGACCGAGCAACGCCGCGUGAAGGAGGAAGGUCUUCGGACUGUAAACUUCUGUUAUAAAGGAAGAAAGGCGGAUACAGGGAAUGGUAUCCGAGUGACGGUACUUUAUGAGGAAGCCACGGCUAACUACGUGCCAGCAGCCGCGGUAAUACGUAGGUGGCAAGCGUUAUCCGGAAUUAUUGGGCGUAAAGAGGGAGCAGGCGGCAGCAAGGGUCUGUGGUGAAAGCCUGAAGCUUAACUUCAGUAAGCCAUAGAAACCAGGCAGCUAGAGUGCAGGAGAGGAUCGUGGAAUUCCAUGUGUAGCGGUGAAAUGCGUAGAUAUAUGGAGGAACACCAGUGGCGAAGGCGACGAUCUGGCCUGCAACUGACGCUCAGUCCCGAAAGCGUGGGGAGCAAAUAGGAUUAGAUACCCUAGUAGUCCACGCCGUAAACGAUGAGUACUAAGUGUUGGAUGUCAAAGUUCAGUGCUGCAGUUAACGCAAUAAGUACUCCGCCUGAGUAGUACGUUCGCAAGAAUGAAACUCAAAGGAAUUGACGGGGGCCCGCACAAGCGGU
rnacentral:rRNA from 1 species